GUGGGGAAUCUUAGACAAUGGGGGAAACCCUGAUCUAGCCAUGCCGCGUGAGCGAUGAAGGCCUUAGGGUUGUAAAGCUCUUUCAGCUGGGAAGAUAAUGACUGUACCAGCAGAAGAAGCCCCGGCUAACUCCGUGCCAGCAGCCGCGGUAAUACGGAGGGGGCUAGCGUUGUUCGGAAUUACUGGGCGUAAAGCGCACGUAGGCGGACCGGAAAGUCAGAGGUGAAAUCCCAGGGCUCAACCUUGGAACUGCCUUUGAAACUCCUGGUCUUGAGGUCGAGAGAGGUGAGUGGAAUUCCGAGUGUAGAGGUGAAAUUCGUAGAUAUUCGGAGGAACACCAGUGGCGAAGGCGGCUCACUGGCUCGAUACUGACGCUGAGGUGCGAAAGCGUGGGGAGCAAACAGGAUUAGAGACCCUGGUAGUCC
rnacentral:rRNA from 1 species